rnacentral:rRNA from 1 species
UACGUAGGGCGCAAGCGUUGUCCGGAAUUAUUGGGCGUAAAGAGCUCGUAGGCGGUUUGUCGCGUCUGCUGUGAAAACCUAAGGCUCAACCUUGGGCUUGCAGUGGGUACGGGCAGACUAGAGUGCGGUAGGGUGACUGGAAUUCCGUGGUGAUAGCGGUGGAAUGCGCAGAUAUCAGGAGGAACACCGAGUGGCGAAGGCAGGUC